rnacentral:rRNA from 1 species
UGCAGAGGUCUCAAGCGUUGUUCGGAUUCAUUGGGCGUAAAGGGUGUGUAGGUGGCGCGCUAAGUCGGGUGUGAAAUUUCGGAGCUUAACUCCGAAACUGCAUUCGAUACUGGCGUGCUUGAGGACUGGAGAGGAGACUGGAAUUCAUGGUGUAGCAGUGAAAUGCGUAGAGAUCAUGAGGAAGACCAGUGGCGAAGGCGGGUCUCUGGACAGUUCCUGACACUGAGACACGAAGGCCAGGGGAGCAAACGGG